GCAAGUUCUUCAAAAGCAUUGUAUUCAGGGAAACAACCACAUUUAAUGCACUCUUGAUUCGUCUGGACUGUUGUUAUACUGUGAAUCAUCCCAAUAGGCGCUGGGAACAUGAUGGAUAUGGACCUAUAGCACUGUACAAGUCAGACUGGGAUAGAAUUGGUGGCAUGGACGUGGAACGAUUUAGGCAUGCCUAAGGUGAUGAAGACUGGGACCUAGUAGAUAACAUUUUGGCAGCCGGCCUGGAAAUAGAACGCUUAAAGGUGCUUAACUUUUUUCAUUUUUAUCACACAAAAAAGGGAAUGUGGAAAGAUUCGGAACAAAAGUUGCCAUGAAAAUUUACUGUCGCAUGGAGAUUGAAAAUUCUUUAAAAGGGACAACAUAUAAUGCCGGCUGAUAGUUGAAUAAAAAAAUAAAAAAAUACAUUGUAAUAAUAUUUUUCUAUCCGAUUCAUUCCUUUGAUGUGUGCAAAAUCAGCUGGUCAGCCUUCAUUUACCAUUGAAGAUCUUUAUAUAAUUUCAAUGUCUGUCACUAUGCCAAGCCCACAGGUGCAUGAAAUAUUGUUACGUAGCUACGUUGAUGCAAGCACAAAAGAUUUUCCUCCAUUGGAAAUGUAAUGCACUAGUGAGGUUAGCACAGUAAUUGGGCUUUGAAAUUUUACAAUAGUUUAAUUGCUAAACGUCGUUUUUAUGUACACCUUGUAGAAUGCUAAUUAAAAGAAAUCAAAUGUUAA